CUCAGUCUGGUUCAGUAGAAAUCACAAUCAUGAGGAAGACUGCUGACCUGACAGUUGUGCAGAAAACCAUCAUUGACACCCUCCAUAAGGUGGGAAAGCCUCAAAAGGUAAUUGCGAAGGAAGUUGGAUGUUCCCAAAGUGCUGUAUCAAAGCACAUUAAAAGAAAGUUAUGUGGAAGGGAAAAGUGUGGAAGAAAAAGGUGCACAAGCAGCAGGGAUGACCACAGCCUGGAGAGGAUUUCAGGAAAAGGCCAUUCAAAAGUGUUGGGGAUUUUCACAAGGAGUGGACUGAGGCUGGAGUCAGUACAUCAAGAGCCACCACACACAGACGGAUCCUAGACUUGGGCUUCAGAUGUCGUAUUUCUCUUGUCAAGCCGCUCCUGAACAACAAACAACGUCAGAAGUGUCUUACCUGGGCUAAAGAAAAACAGACCUGGUCUGUUGCUCAGUGGUCCAAAGUCCUCUUUUCUGAUGAAAGCAACUUUUGCAUCUCAUUUGGAAACCAAGGACCCAGAGUCUGGAGGAAGAAUGGA